rnacentral:snRNA from 1 species
CUCACUUCUCGGCCUUUUGGCUAAGAUCAAGUGUAGUAUCCUAUUUCUUUUACAUUCUUGCUGUUAUUCUUAGCAAGCCUUUAUUUUUAUACACAUUAACUAGUGAGCACUAGUUAAAGGCACUAGGCUAGAAACUAGGGAAGUGUGAGUUCUAAUGCUGCCUUA